UUAGGAGGUUAUAGUGGCGGGGUUCCACCUCUUCCCAUUCCGAACAGAGAAGUUAAGCACGCCCGCGCCGAUGGUACUGCAUACCCGUGGGAGAGUAGGUAGCCGCCGUUU
rnacentral:rRNA from 1 species